CAGCCGCCGCGGUAAUACGUAGGGUGCGAGCGUUGUCCGGAAUUACUGGGCGUAAAGAGCUCGUAGGUGGUCUGUCGCGUCAUUUGUGAAAGCCCGGGGCUUAACUCCGGGUUGGCAGGUGAUACGGGCAUGACUGGAGUACUGUAGGGGAGACUGGAAUUCCUGGUGUAGCGGUGAAAUGCGUUGAGAUCGGAAAGAACACCAACGGCGAAAGCACUCUGCUGGGCCGACACUGACACUGAGAGACGAAAGCUAGGGGAGCAAAUGGGAUUAGAUACCCCUGUAGUCCCUGUCUCUUAUA
rnacentral:rRNA from 1 species